AUUGAACGCUGGCGGCAGGCCUAACACAUGCAAGUCGGACGGUAGCACAGAGAGCUUGCUCUUGGGUGACGAGUGGCGGACGGGUGAGUAAGGUCUGGGGAUCUGCCCGAUAGAGGGGGAUAACCACUUGAAACGGUGGCUAAUACCGCAUAACGUCGCAAGGCCAAAGAGGGGGAGCUUCCGGCCUCUCACUAUCGGAUGACCCCGGAUGGGAUUAGCAAGUCGGCCGGGUAAUGGCCCACCUGGGCGACGCUCCCUAGCUGGUCUGCGAGGAUGACCAGCAACACUGGAACUGAGACACGGUCCAGACUCCUACGGGAGGCAGCAGUGGGGAAUAUUGCACAAUGGGCGCAAGCCUGAUGCAGCCAUGCCGCGUGUAUGAAGAAGGCCUUCGGGUUGUAAAGUACUUUCAGCGGGGAGGAAGGCGACGCGGUUAAUAACCGCGUCGAUUGACGUUACCCGCAGAAGAAGCACCGGCUAACUCCGUGCCAGCAGCCGCCGUAA
rnacentral:rRNA from 1 species